CCUACGGGUGGCAGCAGUGAGGAAUAUUGGUCAAUGGACGAGAGUCUGAACCAGCCAAGUAGCGUGAAGGAUGACUGCCCUAUGGGUUGUAAACUUCUUUUAUAUGGGAAUAAAAUGUUCCACGUGUGGGAUUUUGUAUGUACCAGAUGAAUAAGGAUCGGCUAACUCCGUGCCAGCAGCCGCGGUAAUACGGAGGAUCCGAGCGUUAGCCGGAUUUAUUGGGUUUAAAGGGAGCGUAGGUGGAUUUUUAAGUCAGUUGUGAAAGUUUGCGGCUCAACCGUAAAAUUGCAGUUGAGACUGGCAGUCUUGAGUACAGUAGAGGUGGGCGGAAUUCGUGGUGUAGCGGUGAAAUGCUUAGAUAUCACGAAGAACUCCGAUUGCGAAGGCAGUUCACUGGACUGCAACUGACACUGAGGCUCGAAAGUGUGGGUAUCAAACAGGAUUAGAUACCCGGGUAGUC
rnacentral:rRNA from 1 species